UACGGGGGGGGCAAGCGUUGCUCGGAAUCACUGGGCGUAAAGGGUGCGUAGGCGGGUCUUUAAGUCAGGGGGGAAAUCCUGGAGCUCAACUCCAGAACUGCCUUUGAUACUGAAGAUCUUGAGUUCGGGAGAGGUGAGUGGAACUGCGAGUGUAGAGGUGAAAUUCGUAGAUAUUCGCAAGAACACCAGUGGCGAAGGCGGCUCACUGGCCCGAUACUGACGCUGAGGCACGAAAGCGUGGGGAGCAAACAGG
rnacentral:rRNA from 1 species